UACGUAGGGUGCAAGCGUUGUCCGGAUUCAUUGGGCGUAAAGGGCUAGUAGGCGGCUUAGCAAGUCGGGUGUGAAAACUCCAGGCUCAACCUGGAGCGGCCACUCGAUACUGCUAUGGCUAGAGUCCGGUAGGGGACCACGGAAUUCCUGGUGUAGCGGUGAAAUGCGCAGAUAUCAGGAGGAACACCAGUGGCGAAGGCGGUGGUCUGGGCCGGAACUGACGCUGAAUAGCGAAAGCGUGGGUAGCAAACAGG
rnacentral:rRNA from 1 species